rnacentral:rRNA from 1 species
UACGUAGGGUGCAAGCGUUGUCCGGAUUUAUUGGGCGUAAAGAGCGUGUAGGCGGCCAGGUAGGUCUGCUGUGAAAACUCGAGGCUCAACCUCGAGACGUCGGCGGAAACCAUCUGGCUAGAGUCCGGAAGAGGAGAGUGGAAUUCCUGGUGUAGCGGUGAAAUGCGCAGAUAUCAGGAAGAACACCAGUGGCGAAGGCGACUCGCUGGACAAGUAUUGACGCUGAGGUGCGAAAGCGUGGGGAGCAAACAGG